rnacentral:lncRNA from 1 species
UUUUUUCUUAUUUUCAUUAUUCUUCCACACAUUUUGUCCGUCGUGUUUCUCGGAAUCCAAUGGACCAAUGUUGAUGGAACUUUACUAUAAUAAGGACCCUCUGUAAAGUGUGCACCUUGGUAUGGAAUGGUAAAAGAUGGCCGCCGUUUCCAUGUAAACAGCAAAAAUGCGAAAAUAUGGAAAGUGCUCCAAACUCAAUGAAACUUCACAGAUAUGUUGAUUAGCAUGUUCAGACUUUCCAUUUGACUUUGGAAUUUUCAAAAUGGCUGCCGUUACCAUGGAAACAACAAAAAUGUCAAAAACUUCAAAAUGCUUCAAAAUUAAUAAAAUUUUACAAACAUGUUAAUUGGCACAUGCAACUGCGAUUUAUGACUUUGGAAUUUUCAAAAUGGCUGCCGUUACCCUGGCAAUGGGGGAACGAGGGUGCCAUCCGUUAUUGCUAGCAAUUACAAAUCUAGUUAUUAUGGCACCCUCAACGGAGUUGGGGUGACAUAUUGUUAUUCUACGUUUCUUUUUUUUUUAUUUGGCACCCUCAACGACGAGUUGGUGGGGUGACAUAUUGUUAUUCUACGUUUCUUUUUGUUUUUUUUAUUUUUAUUAUUUUUCUUCCACACAUUUUUGUCCAGUCUGGAACUCUAAUGUGAAUGGACCCAAGAAGAUGGAACUAUACCAUAAUGUUAACCACCAUAUGAAGAUUUGCUUUUUGGGGUUGGCACUUUCAAGAUGGCUGCCGUUACCAUGGAAACGGAACAAAUGUGAAAAAAUCCAGUUUUUUGUUUUGGUGAACUGUUUGGAUAUGCUUUAACUCAGAAUCAUUAUAUUUUAAUACAAUGUAGGUGCCCACUAUAUACAGGUGUUGGAUGAUUUUGGUACUCAUUGGAACUACUAUGUUGCCAUGGAAACAACACCAAAAUUUUCAAAAAUAUCAAAAUGCUCCAAACUUAAUGAAACUUCACAGUAACAAUGAGCAACAUUGGCAGAUGAAGCUUUUGGAGUUGGAAUUUCCAAAAUGGCUUUUGUUACCAUGGAAACAAUGCAAAAAAUUUCAAAAAAAUGAAAAUGCUGCAAACUGGAUGAAACUUUACAGAAAUGGUCACUCGCAUAAGCAGAGUUGACUUUUGAAGUUGGAAUUUUCAAAAUGGCCGCCGUAACCAUGGAAACAGCAAAAAUUUCAAAAAUAUCAAAAUGCUCCAAACUCAACGAAACUUUACAAAAAUGAUAAUUUGCAUGUGUAGAUGCAUUCUUUGACUUUACAUUUUUCUAAAUGGCUGCCGCUCGCCUGGCAAUGGGGGAAGGGUGCCAUCCGCUAUUGCUUGCAAUGGCAAAUCUAGUUAUUUUUAUUUUUCUUCCACACAUUUUGUCCGCGCGUUUCUCAGAAUUGAAUGACCAAUGUUUAUGGAACUCAACUAUAAUGAGGAACCCCAUUUGAAGUUGUGCACCUUGCUAUGGAAUGGUAAAAGAUGGC